GGAUGAGUUUGCUAGCUUGCCUGCUAUUGUUCCAAAAGGUCCCAUUGCCAUCUUUGGUUUGGGUGGUGGAACUACUGCUCGGCUAAUGCUUGACUUGUGGCCUUCAUUGCAACUUGAUGGCUGGGAGAUUGAUGGAAUUUUGAUCGAUAAAGCAAGAGAAUAUCUUGGGCUGUCAUAUCUUGAGAAACAUACUGUAGCUGGUGGCAUCCUUAAUGUUCAUAUC